rnacentral:lncRNA from 1 species
AGAAGUACUAUAAGUUGCUUUGUAUUUGGUUAAUGGAAAAUUUUCCCAUUUGCACAAGUUUGCUCACCUUAUCAAAGGGAUCAAUAUGAUGAUUGGUAAGCCAAAUUUGGAUCUUAAACUGUGUUUGGAUACUGUGAGAAGGUACUAACUUACAUUUAAACUUUCUAUUAUUUCAAAGUGCAUCUGCAUACUUGGAGGCAUAUCAGCAAAGUAUUACCUUGAGAAUACUUUUAUUUUUCCCAAACUCUUAGGGAUUUCAAAUUCAAGAGAUGCAGCAUUUUGUCCUUUUCAUUCCUUAUCCAGUCACUCCAUUGUAUCGGUGUUCCAUGAA